UACGUAGGGACCAAGCGUUGUCCGGAAUUAUUGGGCGUAAAGAGCUCGUAGGCGGUGUGUCACGUCGGCCGUGAAAACCUGCAGCUUAACUGUGGGCGUGCGGUCGAUACGGGCAUCACUGGAGUUCGGCAGGGGAGACUGGAAUUCCUGGUGUAGCGGUGAAAUACGUAGAUAUCUGGAGGAAUACCGGUGGCGAAGGCGGCUACCUGGUCCUACAUUGACGCUGAGAUACGAAAGCAUGGGGAGCAAACAGG
rnacentral:rRNA from 1 species